rnacentral:rRNA from 1 species
AUGCCAAAAGCACCACUUGGAAGCUGGAGCCUAUCAAAAAACUAUCCUUCCCACCAUAUAAAGAUCGAUCGAUCGAUAAGAUAUCAGCUCAAAGCCAAAGCAUGCACUUGCAUCUCUGCCCCAUACAUGGCCUCACUUGGAUUUCCAUCCAUAUCCAUACCCAUUCUCUUCUUGAUCACUCUGCUGUCCACUGUACCCACAUCUUCUUCUCCUGGUCCAAGCAAGAGCAAUGGCAGCGAUACUGAUCUUGCCGCCCUGCUGGCUUUCAAAGGACAGCUCUCAGACCCUCUCGGCAUCCUUGCCAGCAACUGGACCACCGGCACGAAUUUCUGCCACUGGUUUGGUGUUGCAUGCAGUCGGCGCCGGCAGCGCGUCACUGCUUUGGAACUGCCGGGCACUCCCCUCUAUGGAUCAAUCACUCCACACCUUGGUAAUCUCUCUUUCCUCUCUAUUCUCAAUCUCAAUAAUACAAAUCUCACGGGCUCCAUCCCCGAUGAUUUAGGACGGCUUCGUCGUCUUAAAUACAUAUAUCUCGGAUUCAAUGACCUAUCAGGUAGCAUCCCAACCACCAUAGGAAACCUCACAAGGCUUCGUGUUCUUGCCUUGUAUUAUAGCCAUGUAUCUGGUUCAAUCCCGGCAGAACUACAGAACCUGCAGAGUCUUGUCUACUUCAAUAUCUUCGGGAAUUACCUGAGCGGCUCAAUACCAACCUAUCUAUUUAAUAAUACCCCUCUGAUAACUCGCCUGAGCUUCGGCAACAACAGCCUAUCGGGACAUAUACCAUCUUGUAUUGGCUCCUUACCAAUGCUUGAGUACCUUGACCUUCAAGUGAAUCAUUUCAGCGGCCCAGUACCUCCAUCCAUAUUCAAUAAUUCUAGAUUAACUGAAAUCUGGCUUGGAUUCAACUACAACUUAACUGGCCCGAUCCCAAACAAUAAAAGUUUUAGUCUACCGGCAUUGCAAAAGAUUAGCCUGAACAACAAUAGAUUCACCGGUGAGAUUCCGUUGGGGCUAUCCUCUUGUCGGUACCUCCAAACUAUCUCCUUCAACCUGAAUUCCUUCGAGGGUGUUGUGCCGACGUGGCCGGGCAAGCUUUCUCAUCUCAGUUUCCUUUCAUUGGGUAGGAAUCACCUUGUUGGUGCAAUUCCUGUUGCACUUAGCAACCUCACUCAGCUAGGUUUACUAGCCCUGCCAGGCUGUGAACUGUCAGGAGCCAUUCCGGAAGAAUUUGGAUAG